rnacentral:lncRNA from 1 species
AUGUAUCUGCUCCUCCAGGUCCCUAAAAUCAGGGUGAACUCCACGAGAUUCACCCGCGGUUUUCUUCGUGUCCAAGGAGGAAGCGCGCGGCCCAGGUGCCCCCCUCCACCCCAGAGUCCUUCCUUCAACCCCCCUGCUGCGCGCUGGCGGGUGGGCGGCGCGGGGGGAAACGCCUCCGGCAGGCCCGGCCCUCCCCCGCCCCCCGGCUUGGUUUUUCCCAGCUGCGGAGGUUGGGCCAGGGGCUGGGGUGCGAGGAGAGUCGGCGCCCGCAGCGCCGCGCCGAGCGGAGAAGUCGCCGAGACUCGGGGCGGACGGCGUGGUCUUCGGAGGCGGCGGCGGGGAGCCCGCGGCGGAGGCGCACCCCGGGCGGCGCGGGCACCCCCGCCCUCUGCAGGGAGAGUCCCGGAGCAGACCGAGCGUGCGGCGCCAACAGAGAGGCCGGGACGUGCCCCCGGGGCGGCGGCUGGAAGACGAGCGGGAGGAGGAGGAGCGCCGAGCCGAGAGCCCCGACGCGCCCGCCGUGCGUACUUUCUGGAGAGGGCAGGGGCGGGGAGCCGACCCCGGCAGGGGGCGCCGGGUGACUCGGGGUCCCUCCCUCCUGCGCUCCCACGCGAGGAAAGUUUUCUCCUGCCGCUUCGGGCCGGCGCGCGCCCUCCGGCCCCAGCCCCGAGCCUUCGGAGCGGGCGCCGUCCCAGCCCAGCUCCGGG